rnacentral:rRNA from 1 species
UACGGAGGGUGCGAGCGUUGUCCGGAAUCACUGGGCGUAAAGGGCGCGUAGGUGGCGCGGCAAGUCAACGGUUAAAGCUCGACGCUCAACGUCGAGUCGGCCGUCGAUACUGCUGGGCUUGAGCACUGUAGAGGCAGAUGGAAUUCCGGGUGUAGCGGUGGAAUGCGUAGAGAUCCGGAAGAACACCGGUGGCGAAGGCGGUCUGCUGGGCAGUAGCUGACACUGAGGCGCGACAGCGUGGGGAGCAAACAGG